CAAGCCCUGGAAACGGGGUCUAAUACCGGAUAUGACACGGGAAUGCAUGUUCCUGUGUGUAAAGCUCCGGCGGUGCAGGAUGAGCCCGCGGCCUAUCAGCUAGUUGGUGGGGUAGAGGCCUACCAAGGCGACGACGGGUAGCCGGCCUGAGAGGGCGGCCGGCCACACUGGGACUGAGACACGGCCCAGACUCCUACGGGAGGCAGCAGUGGGGAAUAUUGCACAAUGGGCGAAAGCCUGAUGCAGCGACGCCGCGUGAGGGAUGACGGCCUUCGGGUUGUAAACCUCUUUCAGCAGGGAAGAAGCUUUCGGGUGACGGUACCUGCAGAAGAAGCACCGGCUAACUACGUGCCAGCAGCCGCGGUAAUACGUAGGGUGCGAGCGUUGUCCGGAAUUAUUGGGCGUAAAGAGCUCGUAGGCGGCUUGUCACGUCGGUUGUGAAAGCCCGGGGCUUAACCCCGGGUCUGCAGUCGAUACGGGCAGGCUAGAGUUCGGUAGGGGAGAUCGGAAUUCCUGGUG
rnacentral:rRNA from 1 species